GACGAACGCUGGCGGCGUGCUUAACACAUGCAAGUCGAACGGAAAGGCCCUGCUUUUGUGGGGUGCUCGAGUGACGAACGGGUGAGUAACACGUGAGUAACCUGCCCUUGACUUUGGGAUAACUUCAGGAAACUGGGGCUAAUACCGGAUAGGAGCUCCUGCUGCAUGGUGGGGGUCGGAAAGUUUCGGCGGUUGGGGAUGGACUCGCGGCUUAUCAGCUUGUUGGUGGGGUAGUGGCUUACCAAGGCUUUGACGGGUAGCCGGCCUGAGAGGGUGACCGGCCACAUUGGGACUGAGAUACGGCCCAGACUCCUACGGGAGGCAGCAGUGGGGAAUAUUGCACAAUGGGCGGAAGCCUGAUGCAGCAACGCCGCGUGCGGGAUGACGGCCUUCGGGUUGUAAACCGCUUUCGCCUGUGACGAAGCGUGAGUGACGGUAAUGGGUAAAGAAGCACCGGCUAACUACGUG
rnacentral:rRNA from 1 species